rnacentral:rRNA from 1 species
UACGAAGGGGGCUAGCGUUGUUCGGAAUCACUGGGCGUAAAGGGCGCGUAGGCGGCUUUAUAAGUCGGGGGUGAAAGCCUGUGGCUCAACCACAGAAUUGCCUUCGAUACUGUAGAGCUUGAGACCGGAAGAGGUAAGUGGAACUGCGAGUGUAGAGGUGAAAUUCGUAGAUAUUCGCAAGAACACCAGUGGCGAAGGCGACUCACUGGACAUGUAUUGACGCUGAGGUACGAAAGCGUGGGGAGCAAACAGG